CAGCUUCGAGUUUUCAGCGGCCAUGGAAUGAGCUUGAAGAACUCAGGUAUGUUUCUUCCCAAAUUUCGUUUUUGUUUUCUUUUUAAUGAUAGCUCAAUAAUCGCUCAUUCAUCUUUCUCGGUUACUCACUGUGAACAAACAAUGACAACAACCUCUCGGUGCCGCUCUCGGCUUUCUCUGAGUUUAUGAAGAACAAUAACAGCAACUACCGAAAAGAAGAUCUACGGCAGCCGUGGGAGGAGUUCUCAUAGAGUUACAGCAUCAAUUGGCAGUGAGUGAUAUAAGAGUGGAAGUAGAAAGAACUUACCUGCGGCAAAGAGGUUUUUUGCCGGAUUUAUGGCCGAGAAAGUUUGUUGAUUGAAGGUGGUAUGAAGAUGAAAGUUGGAUGAUGAGGAUGAUUGAUGCGUUGAUACGGGGCUGCAACUAGAGG